rnacentral:rRNA from 1 species
GAUGAACGCUGGCGGCGUGCUUAACACAUGCAAGUCUAACGGUGAAUGCGGCGCUUGCUCUGCUGGUUCAGUGGCGAACGGGUGCGUAACCCGUGAGCAAUCUUCCCCUGCCUCUGUGAUAAUCGCUGGAAACGGCGUCUAAUACUGGAUACGAGCUGCCCAUGCAUCUUCAGCAGCUGGAAAGAACUUCGGUCAGGGAUGAUCUCCCGGCCUAUCAGCUUGUUGGUGUGGUAACGGCUCACCAAGGAGUCGACGGGUAGCCGGCCUGAGAGGGUGACCGGCCAAACGGGGACAGAGAAACGGCACAGACAGCAACGGGAGGCAGAAGUGGGGAAUAUUGAACAAGGGGCGAAAGAAUGAUGCAGGAAGGCCGCGUGAGGGACGAAGGCCUUCGGGUUGUAAACCUCGUUUAGCAGGGAAGAAGCGAAAGUGACGGUACCUGGAGAAAAAGCGCCGGAUAACUACGUG